rnacentral:rRNA from 1 species
CCUACGGGAGGCAGCAGUGAGGAAUAUUGGUCAAUGGACGCAAGUCUGAACCAGCCAUGCCGCGUGCAGGAAGACGGCUCUAUGAGUUGUAAACUGCUUUUGUACGAGGGUAAAUCCCGAUACGUGUAUCGGGUUGAAAGUAUCGUACGAAUAAGGAUCGGCUAACUCCGUGCCAGCAGCCGCGGUAAUACGGAGGAUUCAAGCGUUAUCCGGAUUUAUUGGGUUUAAAGGGUGCGUAGGCGGUCGGAUAAGUUAGGGGUGAAAUCCCGAGGCUCAAAUUCGGAAUUGCCGCUGAUACUGUUAGGCUAGAGAGUAGUUGCGGUAGGCGGAAUGUAUGGUGUAGCGGUGAAAUGCUUAGAGAUCAUACAGAACACCGAUUGCGAAGGCAGCAUACCAAGCUACGUCUGACGUUGAGGCACGAAAGCGUGGGGAGCAAACAGGAUUAGAUACCCUUGUAGUC